GGCCGGUUAGCUCAGUUGGUUAGAGUGUGGUGCUGAUAACACCAAGGUCAAGGGAUGGAUCUCCUUAUUGGCCA